GAUGAACGCUGGCGGCGUGCCUAAUACAUGCAAGUCGAGCGAACAGAUGAGGAGCUUGCUCCUCUGACGUUAGCGGCGGACGGGUGAGUAACACGUGGAUAACCUACCUAUAAGACUGGGAUAACUUCGGGAAACCGGAGCUAAUACCGGAUAAUAUAUUGAACCGCAUGGUUCAAUAGUGAAAGACGGUUUUGCUGUCACUUAUAGAUGGAUCCGCGCCGCAUUAGCUAGUUGGUAAGGUAACGGCUUACCAAGGCAACGAUGCGUAGCCGACCUGAGAGGGUGAUCGGCCACACUGGAACUGAGACACGGUCCAGACUCCUAAGGGAGGAAGCAGUAGGGAAUCUUACGCAAUGGGCGAAAGCCUGACGGAGCAACGCCGCGUGAGUGAUGAAGGUCUUCGGAUCGUAAAGCUCUGUUAUUAGGGAAGAACAAAUGUGUAAGUAACUAUGCACGUCUUGACGGUACCUAAUCAGAAAGCCACGGCUAACUACGUG
rnacentral:rRNA from 1 species